AGCCUACGGGGGGCAGCAGUGGGGAAUAUUGCACAAUGGGGGAAACCCUGAUGCAGCAACGCCGCGUGAGUGAAGAAGUAUUUCGGUAUGUAAAGCUCUAUCAGCAGGGAAGAAGAAAGACGGUACCUGACUAAGAAGCCCCGGCUAACUACGUGCCAGCAGCCGCGGUAAUACGUAGGGGGCAAGCGUUAUCCGGAUUUACUGGGUGUAAAGGGAGCGUAGACGGCAUAGCAAGUCUGAAGUGAAAGCCCGUGG
rnacentral:rRNA from 1 species